ensembl:lncRNA
UGUGUGUGUGUGUGUGUUUGUUUUGGCAGCUGGUGUUGAUCUGGUAGCUGUUGAAAAUUGAGUAGAACCCAUCAGAUGUCCUGAUUAAUUGAGAGGUGCGGAGAGACGACGGACAGACAGACGCUCCCUUAACGGGAUUCCACAGCUUCAUCAAUAGGUUUGAUUGGAAAGUGAAGAGUACUUGGGCUGAUUUAUAGCUCAUACGGAGGCUAGUUUGCUAGCGGUGAUAAUCAAAGUGAUCAGGGCAUUCAGAAAGUGAUCAACUAGGUAGAGUUGGGUGGAAGACAGUUGAUAUGUUGCUGUUAUAUUUUUUAUGUCAAAAUGAUACAUUUGUAUAUUUCUAUGGUGUUUUAUUUAAUAUGCUGUAGUUAUAUUACUUAUAUUGAGAAGUUUUGAUAUGUUGUCUAGUUGUAUUACAAAUAUUGAGGAAGAGAGAGAAAGAGAGAUAGACGGAGAGAGAAAGGAGAGAGAGUAAGGAAGAGAGAGACAGGGAGAGAGAGACGGAGACAGAAAGGAGAGUGUAAGGAAGAGAGAGACAGGGAGAGAGAAAGGAGAGAGAAGAAAGGAGAGAGAGACAGGGAGAGAGAGACGGAGAGAGAAAGGAGAGAGAGUAAGGAAGAGAGAGACAGGGAGAGAGAAAGGAGAGAGAACGGAGAGAGAAAGGAGAGAGAGUAAGGAAGAGAUAGACGGAGAGAGAAAGGAGAGAGAGAGAACUUUGUGAUGUCUUUCCUCCCCAGACUAUGGCUUCUCGACCUGAACUAGAGGACCAGAAAUCCACAGGAUCCACAGAGAAGCACAAAGAUGAUCAACUCAGUGAGAACUCAGAGACAGAAGAGAAGGCUUUUUCCAUGGCGCCGGCCCAUUCCACUGUGGCCCUGGUAGAGACGGGG